rnacentral:lncRNA from 1 species
CAGAUUCAGGAUCCUGGUUCAGGGUAUGUAUUUCAAUCCCAACUUGAUCAACAACAACAGCAGCAACCACAACAGCAGCAACAACUACAGCAGCAGCAACUACCACAGCAGCAACAAUUUGUUCAUGCUGGUGGACAUUAUAUUCAUCAUCACCCUGCAGGAGCAAUGCCAAUUUCAGCUUAUUAUCCUGUGUAUCCAUCACAACAGCAACCUCAAGUCCACCAUCAUCAACAUCAACACCAAGUCCAUCAGCUUGAUCAGCAGUACCCAGUUUACUAUGUGCCCGCGGGAAGACAGCCCCAAGCUUACAAUUUGUCUAUGCAACAACAAUCUCAUUCUGUCAGUGAAUCGCCCACAGCCAUCACCUCUAGCCGU